rnacentral:tRNA from 1 species
UCCAGGGUAGCCUAGUGGACAUGGCAUCUGGUCGGUAAGCGGAACAGUGUGGGUUCGAAUCCCAUCCCUGGAC